AAGUACAUGAAAGUAUCAUCAAGCCGGAGCAAGAGUUUUUCAUUCCCCUAUUUGAGAAGAGCUGCGUGAAUGACUUUUAUAUUCAGGAUAGAGAUACAUUCUUCAAUCCAGCCACCAGAAGCCGCAUUUGCAACUUCAGCCUCCGUCAGAGGACCUCAGCUGCCCCAGCGAACAGGGCCUUCUGUACAGGGAAUGGGCUCCUCCUCGAAGCAUAGACAAGAAGCAGCCCUUAGAUCUCAUCAGGAAAUUCUAUGGAGAGACGGUUGGAAUCUACUUUGCUUGGCUGGGCUAUUACACUCAGAUGCUCCUCCUGGCAGCAGUCGUGGGGGUCACUUGCUUUCUG